rnacentral:rRNA from 1 species
GGCGGCGUGCCUGAGACAUGCAAGUCGUGGGAGAAAGUCGUAGCAAUACGGCUAGUAAACCGGCGUACGGGUGAGUAACACGUGGACAACUUGCCUUAGAGUCUGGGAUAACCCGUCGAAAGACGAGCUAAUACCGGAUAAGACCACGGGGGGUUCGCCCUCUGAGGUAAAAGAUGGCCUCUGCUCCUGCAAGCUAUCACUUUGAGAGAGGUCCGCGUCCUAUCAGCUAGUUGGCGAGGUAACGGCUCACCAAGGCUAAGACGGGUAGCUGGUCUGAGAGGAUGGUCAGCCACACUGGGACUGAGACACGGCCCAGAGUCCUACGGGAUGCAGCAGUCAGGAAUAUUGCGCAAUGGAGGAAACUCUGACGCAGCGACGCCGCGUGGGUGAUGAAGGCCUUCGGGUCGUAAAGCCCUGUCGGAAGGGAAGAAAAGCCUGUUGGCUAAUAUCCAGCGGGCCUUUGACGGUACCUUUAAAGGAAGCACCGGCUAACUCCGUGCCAGCAGCCGCGGUAAGACGGANGGUGCAAGCGUUGUUCGGAUUGACUGGGCGUA